UACGUAGGGGGCAAGCGUUGUCCGGAAUCAUUGGGCGUAAAGAGCGUGUAGGCGGUCCGCUAAGUCUGAUGUGAAAGCCCGGGGCUCACCCCCGGAAGUGCAUUGGAAACUGGCGGACUCGAGUCCCGGAGAGGAGAGUGGAAUUCCUGGUGUAGCGGUGAAAUGCGUAGAUAUCAGGAGGAACACCGGUGGCGAAGGCGGCUCUCUGGACGGUGACUGACGCUGAGACGCGAAAGCGUGGGGAGCAAACAGG
rnacentral:rRNA from 1 species